rnacentral:rRNA from 1 species
CUACGGGGCGCUGCAGUGGGGAAUAUUGGACAAUGGGGGAAACCCUGAUCCAGCAAUGCCACGUGUGUGAAGAAGGCCUGAGGGUUGUAAAGCACUUUUAUCAGCGAGGAAGGUUAUUAGGUUAAGAGCUAAAUAACUUGACGUUAGCUGAAGAAAAAGCACCGGCUAACUCUGUGCCAGCAGCCGCGGUAAUACAGAGGGUGCAAGCGUUAAUCGGAAUGACUGGGCGUAAAGCGCACGUAGGUGGAUAAUUAAGUCAGAUGUGAAAUUCCCGGGCUCAACCUGGGCAUUGCAUUUGAUACUGGUUAUCUAGAGUACUAUAGAGGGUAGAGGAAUUUCUGGUGUAGCGGUGAAAUGCGUAGAUAUCAGAAGGAACAUCGGUGGCGAAGGCGUCUACCUGGAUUGAUACUGACACUGAGGAGCGAAAGCGUGGGUAGCGAACAGGAUUAGAUACCCUGGUAGUC